GGGACCCUCAAGAGGAGGCAACGUUCAUAACCUGGCCUUCCCAUCGCUUCACAGACGACCCCAGGAUGGAACAGGGCAGGUUCGCAGGGAGCUGGAAACGGAAAAUCUAGGAAAACGUAUCCUGCCAUCUGGUGGACAGGGCUGGGGACUGGGAAGAUCGGAUCCCACCAUCCGGGACACUGCCAUGUGCCAGACGCGGCUCAUAAGACGGACGUGUUCCCGUAACCCCAGGAGGGAGGCAGCAUCACCAGGCCAGUGUCACAGAUGAGGGAGUGGCUGAGGCCCAGGGAGAUGCCCCCGCAGCCUUGCUGUCCUUCCCCCCCUCCCCCGCUUUCUCCCCAGUCCCCACUGGGCUGCUGGGCUGGCAUGUGCGAGGCAGAGAGGA